GAUGAACGCUGGCGGCGUGCCUAACACAUGCAAGUCGAACGGGAUCCAAGGGGUGCUUGCACUUUUUGGUGAGAGUGGCGAACGGGUGAGUAACACGUGAGUAACCUGUCCUUUUCUUUGGGAUAAGCAUUCGAAAGGGUGUUUAAUACCUUAUGUUCUGUCUGCCUCGCAUGGGGUGGGUGGGAAAGGCUUUGGCCGGAUUUGGGUGGGCUCGCGGUCUAUCAGCUUGUUGGUGGGGUGAUGGCUUACCAAGGCUUUGACGGGUAGCCGGCCUGAGAGGGUGGUCGGUCACAUUGGGACUGAGAUACGGCCCAGACUCCUGCGGGAGGCAGCAGUGGGGGAUAUUGCACAAUGGGCGAAAGCCUGAUGCAGCGACGCCGCGUGGGGGAUGAAGGCCUUCGGGUUGUAAACUUCUUUUGCUCUGAACAAGGCAUGCCAGUGGGUGUGUUGAGUGUAGGGGUUGAUUAGCGCCGGCUAACUACGUG
rnacentral:rRNA from 1 species